CGAGCCUGUAAUCCCAGCUGCUGGGGAGGCUGAGGCAUGGGAAUCUCUUGAACCCGGGAGGCGGAGCUUGCAGUGAGCCGAGAACACGCCACCGCACUCCAGCCUGGGCAACAGAGCGAGACUCCGUCUCACAAAAUAAAUAAAAGCCCUGUCUCCAAAUAUGUCACAUUGUGAGGUACCCGGGGUCAAGACUUCAACAUAAGUUGGGGGGGCGGUGCAGGGCAUAACCCUGCCCAUGACAGCCCUGGUUCAUUUCUGAACUGGUUGAAGGCUGCCUCCCUCUGCCCUUGACGCCGCACCACCUUCCUGCCUGGAUCCUCUGCUCCCAUGUGCUGUCCACAUGCUGCUCGAGGACUCCUUCUAAUGCGCCACCUAUCCUGCUUCUCAGCCCUCAGUGAAGCCCAGUUCCUUCACAGGACGCAGGAAUCCUUCUCGAACCUGGCCCUACCUUUCUCGCCUGCCUGUGUUCCUUCCAUACUUCUUGUCUUGCGCUUGUCCCAGUGGGUGCUGAACUGCUGUGACCUGGCUGUGCUGUUUCCUGCCUCGAUACCUCUGCUUCUAUUUAUGCCCUCACCCUGAGUUUUUUGCCUUUGCCUGCCUACCCCUUAUUCAUUCUUCAAAAUUGACAGUGAGAGGGAGACUUUUGUGGUUCCUUGAAUUCCAUCCCAGCUCUGGCUUCUGGACCAGAGAGACUUGCGUGCACGCACAGAACCCAGCGCAGGCAGACGGCAUGUGGACAGAUCACAGCACAGCGGCCCUUUGUGAGGAACAAUGACAAUGACUUCCACCUCUUCCGGGGAGAAGCCCAGAUGAGGAGGUCAGUUGCUGUGGCCUGUCAGCCCUAGAGGUGAUGUCACCGUCUCCCGAGGACAAAACCUUCAUUUAGCUGCAAGAGGGAACAGUUGAGUAGUAAAGUGCUUAUUGUUGUGGGUCAUCCUUUGGCUCAGAUUUUGUAAACAGAUUCAUCUUGAAUGACUGCAUGCAUAGGGAUUACAGGAACGACUGCAUUGUCUGAAAUGACAAGCCUGGAAAUUUCCACUGUAGGGGGAUGUCAUGGGAUUCACUACUGGUAUAGACAUUAAAACUUACAAAGAAGAAAAUUCUGUAGAAAUAAAGACAUGCUUAAUAUAUUUAUUUGAAGAAAGCAGAAGGAAAAUAAGUCUGAUGUGUAUCGCAUGGGAAGAGGGACAUUAUGACGGCAUAAAAAAGUUAAAAUGGGCCAGGCGCAGUGGUUCAUGCCUGUAAUCCCAGCACUUUGGGAGUCCGAGGCGGGCGGAUCACGAGGGCAGGAGAUCGAGACCAUCCUGGCUAACACAGUGAAACUCCAUCUCUACUAAAAAUACAAAAAAAAAAAAAAAUUAGCCAGGCGUGGUGGCAGGUGCCUGUAGUCCCAGCUACUUGGGAGGCUGAGGCAGGAGAAUGGCGUGAAC
rnacentral:lncRNA from 1 species